rnacentral:rRNA from 1 species
UACGAGAGGCUCAACCGUUAUUCGGAAUUACUGGGCUUAAAGAGUUCGUAGGCGGCGCAGAAAGUAGGGUGUGAAAGCCCUCGGCUCAACCGAGGAAUUGCGCUCUAAACUACUGUGCUUGAGGAAGCUAGAGGUGAGCGGAACUGAUGGUGGAGCGGUGAAAUGCGUUGAUAUCAUCAGGAACACCGGAGGCGAAGGCGGCUCACUGGGGCUUUUCUGACGCUGAGGAACGAAAGCCAGGGGAGCGAACGGG